rnacentral:lncRNA from 13 species
UUUCACAACAGAAUCCGAUGUAGAGUAAACGGCUACAUGUAACAGUCAACUAACCAGUUGGACAAUAACAACUUGAACUCCUCCCUUCCGUUCAAAUGUCCUAUCUUGUCACAUUUCCCUUUCCUGUAGAAAAGACCAAGCUGGAGCUUUGCAUUGAGAAAGCCAGCGCUGACAUAAUGAAGGAACUCCUCACCCCACUUGAGAAGGAACCCGAACCCUUCUGGAAGACGGGAUGGAUGGCAAUGAUGGAGGAGGAAAAUAAUAAAAAGAAGAAGAAGGGUUGCGGCUGGUUCUCGGGUUUGUUUGGCCGUAAGAAAAAAAACAGCGAAAGAAUUGUGGAUGGAGGAUUGUCGCAGGCGCGGAUACUAGAAAUCACAUCCACACAAACCAAGCGUAUGGACACACACACAUUUACACAGAGACAGAUAUAACAACAAGGCCUACCUCAGAUCCCAAACAGACAACAUAUGUUGCCUGUCUAAUACUAUGUCUUAUUUUCCAUUUUUCUCUGAACUUUUAUUUGAAAAAUAAACACUUUAUUUGAAGUAUUUUGUGUGACUUUGUUUUCUAAAGACGUGUCUUUUAUGACUUUAUUUCUGAUAUAUAUAUUUUACAUUCCAUAUAGAGGAGCCUGAUGCUCAAUGUAAC